UGGGGAAUUUUGGACAAUGGGCGAAAGCCUGAUCCAGCAAUGCCGCGUGUGUGAAGAAGGCCUUCGGGUUGUAAAGCACUUUUGUCCGGAAAGAAAUCCUUGGCUCUAAUACAGUCGGGGGAUGACGGUACCGGAAGAAUAAGCACCGGCUAACUACGUGCCAGCAGCCGCGGUAAUACGUAGGGUGCAAGCGUUAAUCGGAAUUACUGGGCGUAAAGCGUGCGCAGGCGGUUUGCUAAGACCGAUGUGAAAUCCCCGGGCUCAACCUGGGAACUGCAUUGGUGACUGGCAGGCUAGAGUAUGGCAGAGGGGGGUAGAAUUCCACGUGUAGCAGUGAAAUGCGUAGAGAUGUGGAGGAAUACCGAUGGCGAAGGCAGCCCCCUGGGCCAAUACUGACGCUCAUGCACGAAAGCGUGGGGGGCAAACAGGAUUAGAUACCCUGGUAGUCCACGCCCUAAACGAUGUCAACUAGUUGUUGGGGGAUUCAUUUCCUUAGUAACGUAGCUAACGCGUGAAGUUGACCGCCUGGGGAGUACGGUCGCAAGAUUAAAACUUAAAUGAAUUGACGGGGUCAUAGCUGUUUCCU
rnacentral:rRNA from 1 species